rnacentral:rRNA from 1 species
UGCAUAUCAAUAAGCGGAGGAAAAGAAACCAACAGGGAUUGCCUUAGUAGCGGCGAGUGAAGCGGCAAAAGCUCAAAUUUGAAAUCUGGCUCUUUCAGAGUCCGAGUUGUAAUUUGAAGAAGGUAUCUUUGGGUCUGGCUCUUGUCUAUGUUUCUUGGAACAGAACGUCACAGAGGGUGAGAAUCCCGUGCGAUGAGAUGAUCCAGGCCUAUGUAAAGUUCCUUCGAAGAGUCGAGUUGUUUGGGAAUGCAGCUCUAAGUGGGUGGUAAAUUCCAUCUAAAGCUAAAUAUUGGCGAGAGACCGAUAGCGAACAAGUACAGUGAUGGAAAGAUGAAAAGAACUUUGAAAAGAGAGUGAAAAAGUACGUGAAAUUGUUGAAAGGGAAGGGCUUGAGAUCAGACUUGGUAUUUUGUAUGUUACUUCUUCGGGGGUGGCCUCUACAGUUUAUCGGGCCAGCAUCAGUUUGGGCGGUAGGAGAAUUGCGUUGGAAUGUGGCACGGCUUCGGUUGUGUGUUAUAGCCUUCGUCGAUACUGCCAGCCUAGACUGAGGACUGCGGUUUAUACCUAGGAUGUGCAACCGACUAACCCAAA